GAUGAACGCUGGCGGCGUGCCUAAUACAUGCGAGUCGAGCGAACAGACGAGGAGCUUGCUCCUCUGACGUUAGCAGCGGACGGGUGAGUAACACGUGGAUAACCUACCUAUAAGACUGGGAUAACUUCGGGAAACCGGAGCUAAUACCGGAUAAUAUAUUGAACCGCAUGGUUCAAUAGUGAAAGACGGUUUUGCUGUCACUUAUAGAUGGAUCCGCGCCGCAUUAGCUAGUUGGUAAGGUAACGGCUUACCGAGGCGACGAUGCGUAGCCGACCUGAGAGGGUGAUCGGCCACACUGGAACUGAGACACGGUCCAGACUCCUACGGGAGGCAGCAGUAGGGAAUCUUCCGCAAUGGGCGAAAGCCUGACGGAGCAACGCCGCGUGAGUGAUGAAGGUCUUCGGAUCGUAAAACUCUGUUAUUAGGGAAGAACAAAUGUGUAAGUAACUAUGCACGUCUUGACGGUACCUAAUCAGAAAGCCACGGCUAACUACGUG
rnacentral:rRNA from 1 species